CCAGCAGAGAUUGAAGGAUGACAACAUGCUAAUGUAUCACACUUUCCCAGAUUUCUGAGAGUACAGAUUCUGGUCUUCCUGGGUUUCAUCAUCAUUUACAAGAAAACCAAUCUCAGUUGUUGCAGCUAUGAUUCUUAUUUCUGCAAUACUACUACAUAGACUUGUGCUGCUUAAGUGCUGUGAAAGUUCUUUGCUUGGACAGAAUCAGCACAAGGUCAAAAUCCUAUAUAACAAGCAAUGCAGACAAU